GAUGAACGCUGGCGGCGUGCCUAAUACAUGCAAGUCGAGCGAACAGAUGAGGAGCUUGCUCCUCUGACGUUAGCGGCGGACGGGUGAGUAACACGUGGAUAACCUACCUAUAAGACUGGGAUAACUUCGGGAAACCGGAGCUAAUACCGGAUAAUAUAUUGAACCGCAUGGUUCAAUAGUGAAAGACGGUUUUGCUGUCACUUAUAGAUGGAUCCGCGCCGCAUUAGCUAGUUGGUAAGGUAACGGCUUACCAAGGCAACGAUGCGUAGCCGACCUGAGAGGGUGAUCGGCCACACUGGAACUGAGACGGGGACCAGACUCCUACGGGAGGCAGCAGUAGGGAAUCUUCCGCAAUGGGCGAAAGCCUGACGGAGCAACGCCGCGUGAGUGAUGAAGGUCUUCGGAUCGUAAAACUCUGUUAUUAGGGAAGAACAAAUGUGUAAGUAACUAUGCACGUCUUGACGGUACCUAAUCAGAAAGCCACGGCUAACUACGUG
rnacentral:rRNA from 1 species